GAAAGUAAGGUUGUAUAGUAAAAUAGCAAAGGUGUGGACUAAAAACGCCAAUUCCAUAAAGUAAUGUGGUAAGAACUUGAUGCGUCACAUUUGGUAAGUGUCAGCGAUCAAAAGUGGCAAACCCUUGAAACCUUUAUGGCUAGUAGUAAAGAAUAUCAAUGCCAAAGGACCAAAAGUGCCAACUCCACAAACUAAUGUGAUAGAAAGUUGAGGAGGGACCGAAAGUGACAAAGUGUUGAAACUUUUUGUGGCAAAACUUUACGGACAUUUUUUGUAAUUUUACUUCAAGGAUACUGAGCUAUGCCGACGACACCUAAGCCGGCGACGAACGUCAUCGCUACAGGUCUCUCUAUCCCGACGACUUGUCGUCGCCAUAUAUUUUGCAACAUUUGACCAAUUUCCUUUGACCACGAUAUAUGUGCCGACGACAUGUCGUCGCUACAAGUAUGGCGGGAAUGACGAAAAUGUUCGCGGUAUUCUGAAAAUCUGUACCGACAACACGUCGUCGGGAUAGCAAAAGACGAAACAUCAUUGUUUAUAACGGACCCUAUACCGACGACAUGUCGUCGGCAUAGGGAGUUACCCUAAAAAAGACGCAGACUUCCUUCAUUUGCACACAACGACGUAGUUACUUCACUCCUCCGACGAAAAUCACAUUUCAACUCCCAUCACCGGCAAUUAACCCCAGAGUAGUUCACCAGUGGUAAAGCACCAUCGCCCGUUUUCCUAUCUCAAGCUUCCCACCGACGAGUUGUUCAUUGGCGACCCCGUUCCAGCCACCACCGAAGUUGUUCACUGGUGGGUUUUUCAACCUUGUUCAUUUUUUUUUUCUGAUUUUAUUUAUUUCCUGUGGCCACCAGCCACCAACGGAGGAUUACCAUCGACUUUGACUAGCCUAGUCCGUCCAUCACAGCAAGAAAACGAAACACAGGUUAGUUUUUUAUUUUUCUAAUUUUUUUUUGAAAUUGA